ACUCCUACGGGAGGCAGCAGUAGGGAAUCUUCCACAAUGGGCGCAAGCCUGAUGGAGCAACACCGCGUGAGUGAAGAAGGGUUUCGGCUCGUAAAGCUCUGUUGUUAAAGAAGAACACGUAUGAGAGUAACUGUUCAUACGUUGACGGUAUUUAACCAGAAAGUCACGGCUAACUACGUGCCAGCAGCCGCGGUAAUACGUAGGUGGCAAGCGUUAUCCGGAUUUAUUGGGCGUAAAGAGAGUGCAGGCGGUUUUCUAAGUCUGAUGUGAAAGCCUUCGGCUUAACCGGAGAAGUGCAUCGGAAACUGGAUAACUUGAGUGCAGAAGAGGGUAGUGGAACUCCAUGUGUAGCGGUGGAAUGCGUAGAUAUAUGGAAGAACACCAGUGGCGAAGGCGGCUACCUGGUCUGCAAACUGACGCUGAGACUCGAAAGCAUGGGUAGCGAACAGGAUUAGAUACCCUGGUAGGAUAG
rnacentral:rRNA from 1 species